rnacentral:rRNA from 1 species
AACGAACGCUGGCGGCAGGCUUAACACAUGCAAGUCGAGCGCCCCGCAAGGGGAGCGGCAGACGGGUGAGUAACGCGUGGGAAUCUACCGUGCCCUACGGAAUAGCUCCGGGAAACUGGAAUUAAUACCGUAUACGCCCUUUGGGGGAAAGAUUUAUCGGGGUAUGAUGAGCCCGCGUUGGAUUAGCUAGUUAGUGGGGUAAAGGCCUACCAAGGCGACGAUCCAUAGCUGGUCUGAGAGGAUGAUCAGCCACAUUGGGACUGAGACACGGCCCAAACUCCUACGGGAGGCAGCAGUGGGGAAUAUUGGACAAUGGGCGCAAGCCUGAUCCAGCCAUGCCGCGUGAGUGAUGAAGGCCCUAGGGUUGUAAAGCUCUUUCACCGGUGAAGAUAAUGACGGUAACCGGAGAAGAAGCCCCGGCUAACUUCGUGCCAGCCGCCGCAGUAA